rnacentral:rRNA from 1 species
AACGAACGCUGGCGGCAUGCCUAACACAUGCAAGUCGAACGAGACCUUCGUGUCUAGUUGCUCACUGGUGCUUAACGCGUGGUAACCUUCCCUUAGGUUCGGGAUAACUCCCCGAAAGGUGUGCUAAUACCUGAUAAUUACUUCGGUCCAAAGAUUUAUCGCCGUUGGAUGGGCCCGCGUUGGCUUGGCUAGUUGGUAGGGUAAAAGCCUACCAAUGCGACGAUCCAUAGCUGGUCUGAGAGGAUGAUCAGCCACACUGGGACUGAGACACGGCCCAGACUCCUCCGGGAGGCAGCAGUGGGGAAUAUUGGACACUGGGCGAAAGCCUGAUCAAGCAAUGCCGCGUGCGUGAUGAAGGCAUUAGGGUUGUAAAGCUCUUUUACCCGGGCUGAUAAUGACAGUACCGGGAGAAUAAGCUCCGCCUAACUCCGUG